CUCCUACGCCAAUCUGGAGGAUGUUUAUUGUCAAGAUACGGGGAAAUCAUUAAUGCCGAUACACUUGAGGGCCAGAGCGGCAUAUGGUACUUUUCGUGAACAAUAUAGGGGUGAUGAGAGGAAUCGGGAUAAGAUCACGGCAAAUCUCGAGUUAGUGGAGGGAUUUGAGACUGCAUCCAAGGAGGCUGCAUCUGUGUACAUUUCGCAGGAGGAGGAAC